rnacentral:lncRNA from 1 species
CCAUACAGAUUUUAAGUGAUAUAGAGAAAACUAAAGCAUAGAAAUGGGCAUAAGAAAUGUUAAGAAGGUUUUUUGUUUUUUUUUUUUUAAGUAAGGUGAUCAUAAAUUCUAUUCUACCAAGUUGACAUCUGAGCACAAAUCAGAAAGACAGAAGGGAACGAACCACAAAUAAGUUAGCAGAGUUUGCUCCAGACAAGUGUUAGCAAAUGCAAAAAGUGUAAAACAGAAAUGUGCUGGAGCAACAUGAGAGAAACUUGUGUUCCUGAGUCUGAGAAGAUUAAAAGAUGGGUAUCGGUGCUGCUCGAAGUUUGAGUCUGCUUCCUUUAGAACCAGAACUGUCAGGUAGUCCUCAACAAUUUUGCUUCCACUCAUCACCAAAUGAAGGGGAAAGAAGGAACCAAUGCAGAAUGAAAGGUCGUGUAUUCACAGAGCCUAUUUGGGGAAGUAGUAAGUUUCCCCCCAAAAGGGCAAUGAAAUUUUGA